rnacentral:sRNA from 2 species
AAUAUGUCCCGUUAGGUGAGGCUCCUAUAUGAAAAUACGCUGUUGCUCAGAAACAUCGAGAGAUGCCAACGAGUCAACUGGAAUUGCCCAUGAAGGCUCUUUCUAAUACAGCUGAUAUCAUUCUACGUCAUAUAGUGCUAAAACUAAACGAUUGGGAUUUCUC